AACUGGUAUAUGGCCCACCAUAACUGCAGCUGGUCUGAUGGAUGACCCAGCUAUCAUAUCUACAAUAAGUAAAUAAUAAAAUUAAAUUAAUUAAAGCAUGCAUAUAAGAGGCUUUACAGUUCUAGUGAAGAGUUUUAGCAUAGAUUUCUUAUCAAUCUGUCAGCCACAAUAUGUGCACUGAUUAAGCCACCCAUGUGCCUAAUUGAAUCUUGAUGGGUGGCCCGAUUUUGACAGGCCCUUUGCCACCUACCGACGUACUCCUCGCUACUCCACUUAUUGCAGAGGACCUCCCAUACGUCUGCCUACAUCCAGUGAUCCUUGUAGGACUUCCAAUCCGAUGGUGACAGGAACCAAAAUUCUUGAUGGUGGACUACCGUAGGUUGCGUAGUCCAUCUCAAAACCUAUGUAUGGUCACCUACUCGAAGAUCGGGCGGCCAGCCUCCUUAUCCUAAGGAGAUAAGAAUCAAUAGUAGUUCUGCAAGUAGAAGUAAGCGUGUAUUAAUAAAUAGAAUACAAACUUACUAUGAAUUAUUAAAUUAAACACCUUUGACUUAUCCGAAACAUCUCCCAAGCUGCAUCACGUGCCCUCGAUGGCCAACUUAAAAAUGUAUCCACUGGCCUC
rnacentral:lncRNA from 1 species